rnacentral:lncRNA from 1 species
GCCCGACGGUCGCGGCAAAUCGGAGUCGGAGGGGUGUGACGGCUUUCUGCUCGUGCAGGCCCUUCGGGCGUUCCGCGCCCGAGCUCGUCAGGUGGUAGAACGUCGACGAGGAGGGGCAGACGGGGUGCGGAACGACAAGGAGAUGCCCGUGCUGGUGGCGACUUGCGCCGGCGUGGCUCGAGGCGGCCGGAAUCGCACAGUCAUCGGCUGUGCGGCGGCGGUCGG